AUUGAACGCUGGCGGCAGGCCUAACACAUGCAAGUCGAACGAGCGGCGGACGGGGGAGUAAUGUCUGUGAAACUGCCUGUUGGGGAGGGAUAACUACUGGAAAAGGUAUCUAAUACCGCAUACCAUCAGAUGUGCCCAGAUGGGAUUAGCUAGGAGGUGGGGUAAUGGCUCACCUAGGCGACGAUCCCCAGCUGGUCUGAGAGGAUGACCAGCCACACUGGAACUGAGACACGGUCCAGACUCCUACGGGAGGCAGCAGUGGGGAAUAUUGCACAAUGGGCGCAAGCCUGAUGCAGCCAUGCCGCGUGUGUGAAGAAGGCCUUCGGGUUGUAAAGCACUUUCAGCGGGGAGGCGUUACCCGCAGAAGAAGCACCGGCUAACUCCGUGCCAGCAGCCGCGGUAAUUC
rnacentral:rRNA from 1 species